AUCAGCAUGCCGCGGUGAAUAUGUACCCGGGCCCUGUACACACCGCCCGUCACACCCUGGGAAUUGGUUUCGCCCGAAGCAUCGGACCAAUGAUCACCCAUGACUUCUGUGUACCACUAGUGCCACAAAGGCCUUUGGUGGUCUUAUUGGCGCAUACCACGGUGGGGUCUUCGACUGGGGUGAAGUCGUAACAAGGUAGUCGUAGGGGAACCUGUGGCUGGAUUGAAUCCUUC
rnacentral:ncRNA from 1 species